AGGAAAGAGAAGUUGCAGACUGUGGGUACUGUGUUGCCCAAGACGUUAUCAUUGCUUCCCUCAAACUCUUUGUGCAUACUCCCAUGGAAAGUGAGGGAAAGGAAGCCCAAAGUCUGGAGUAGUGAGCGACAGCAACUUCCAGAGGAAGAGGAGAGCAAGGCACUGCAGAGAUUGGAAAUCUGAAAAAAAAAUAAAGUGGUAGAAAUACUCAUUAGGUCUGGCAGCAUCAGUGGAGCAAAAAACAGAGUUAACACGCUGAACGUUUCACCGAAUUCUGAUGACUCUUGAACCCUUUAAAAAUAGCAGGCUGCCUCUAGGACGCAGUGCAAAGAUGUGUCCUCAACCGAGUGUUGCAGACUGGUACAUUCCAAGUGCUGAAGGAUGCACUAAAGCUUGGGGAAAUGCCGCAGAGGCACAAUGGGGAAAGGUUGUCAUCCAAAGCCUUUCAGCCAUAGUGCACCAGGGACUGGAAACUGUGUGGAACCCCUCAGGCUGACGGGGAAUGAAUAUUGUGAAUAUCAAGAGUAUUGAAAUUGUAUUGAGGCACCUCAAGAGUGGAACGUGCUGUAUGGAGACAGGUGGAAUUUUAUUGUGCUUCCUGUAAUUUUCAAUUUGAAUCUUUCAUAAUGUACUCUUAUACAUUUUAUGAAUAAAAUAUAUUUUUAGGGAAAAAA